rnacentral:lncRNA from 1 species
AGAGCUCCAUGUAUGACACUCUUUUAAGGCAGUGUUUGGUUAGGGAAUAGGUAUAGAAAUAGGAAUAGAUUCUUAUCUUCUUCUUUAUAUCCAAAUGUUAAUUUUUUAUCCGAGAAUAGUAGUUCUGGGUUAUCCCCACCAACACCUUCAUUUUCUAUAUAAAAUUACUUAAAAUUGUUCUUAUUCCCGAAAACAAUCCAAUUUUCAUCCAAACACUAUUUUUCUUAUUCCCAUACUUGUAUCUAUCCCUGUAAUAGCUAGUUCUUACUUAUACCCGAACCAAACGGUACCUUAAGGAAUAAGGAUUUAAAAUAGUAUUAUAUAAAAGAUAUAAUAAGACUAAAUUUUUUUAUUCGACUACAAUAUUUUAGACGGUGGAUAGUCUCAAAAGAUUAAGAAAGUUAAGCGCGGCAGGACUAGAAUAGUUCAAUGAUAGAUGACUUCCUAAGAAACGGGGCACACACUGUGCUCGUAAGUCAUUUUCGCUGACAUGGGAAUCUGAAUUAAAAAUUGGUUCUCUUAAACUUGAAAAUUAAAAUCUUAUAAAAAAUAAUGAUGUAACAUUAAAUUUUUAUAUCAUAGAUAUUGAUUUUAUUGUAAAUAAUAUAAAAAUUUUUCUAUCAAAAUUUUAUCUCAUUUGAAUAUUUCUACACCAUCAAAUUUGUAAAUAAUUGUACAUAUCAACUAUUAAAAAUUAUUAAUUUUGAUAUCAUCCAAUCAAAAAUAAAAAAUUCAUAAAAAUUAUUUUCUAAAUAUUUAAAUACGCUAAAUCAAUUAUAACAUAACCAAUCGUUCAUUUCAAAGUCCCACUAUGAAAAUUACUUAGGACUAUUACGGAAACAAGUUAGGGCCCAUUUGGUAUUAAAGUGUAUCGAGUGCUAAACUGCUAAUAAAUAAAAUAGAGUUGAAAAAAAUAUAUAGAAAUAUCCUUUUAUAUUUUCUGAAAGAAUCGUAGAGAAUAUAUCGUAACCUAUAUAUUUAAACCUACAUAUUUAUCGCGAUAUAGGAUGGAAUCGUAAAAUAUAUAUCGUAAUUAACUUAUUACGUUCUACCGGCGAAACGUGAUAUUAUGUACGAAGAUAAAUAUAAUAUUUUUUUUCAUAUUUUUUUAUCACGUAUAAAAUAAUUUUCUCGCAAUUUAAAACGACGCAGCAAUAUGAUAAGAAGCCAAAUAUUUCUAGUAAUAAAUAAUUUCAUAUACGAAAAAAA